ACGAAACAAAGAGCAACAUUUAAAAAGAAAAAGAAAUCGACGAAGCCCCCAAAAUAAAAUAAGAAUCCAUUAUAUACAUAUAUGCUUAUCUCAAUGACCACUUUCUUUUUCUUCCCUUUUUCUUCCUUUUUUCUUCCCUUUUUCUUCCCUUUUUUUUC
rnacentral:ribozyme from 12 species